ensembl:lncRNA
AUUAAACCACACCCCUUUAUGUAAACCGCACCCCUUUAUGUAAACCACACCCAUGCACCAUUAAACCACACCCCUUUGGGUAAACCACGCCCAUUUCCUGUUAAACCACGCCCAUUUCCUGUUAAACUACGCCCAUUCCCUGUUAAACCACACCCCUUUAUGUAAACCACGCCCCUUUAUGUAAACCAUGCCCACUCCCUGUCAAACCACGCCCAUUCCCAUUGAACCACACCCAUUUUUCCAGACCACGCCCCCUCCCCCUUAUGCCACGCCUCCUUAACCACACCCCCUUGGUCCAAAGCCCCGCCCACGCCCCCUUCCCGAAUCACGUGUUAAUCGCAUAUUAAUGAGCCCCUUUCUGCCUGUUAAUAAGGACCUCACACAUUUUAAUGAGCCUCUCAUGCAUAUUAGUGAUCCCUCAUGCAUAUUAAUGAGCAUCUUAUGUACGUUCGUGAUCCCUCGUGCAUAUUAAUGAGCACCAUGUGCACAUUAAUGAGCGCCACACACGUUAACGAUCUGCUCCCGCAUAUUAACGAGCCGCCGUGCGUAAUAAUGAGCCCCUCGUGCAUAUUAAUGAGCUCCUCAUGCAUAUUAAUGAGCCCCACUCACUGUAGCCCAUGCCCUGCAGGAAGUACUUGAUGGCCUCGGUCAGGCGGCCGGGCUGGGGGGGGGGGGGGGGGGGGGGGGAGUGGUCAGGGCUGACCCCUGAGUGACCCUAGUGACCACGCCCACCCCGUGACCCCGCCGUGACCUCUGACCCCUCACCUGGGCGAUCUGCGGCUGCCCGCCCCCGUCGGCCAUCUGCAGGAGAGGAGCGGCGAGCGGUCACUCGGGGUCACUCAGGGUCACUCGGGGGUCAGGGGUCACUCAGGGUCACUCAUUGGUCACUCAUUGGUCACUCAGGGUCACUCAGGGUCACUCAGGGUCACUCAUUGGUCACUCAUUGGUCACUCAGUGGUCACUCAGUGGUCACUCAGGGGUCAGUCACGGUCACUCGGGGUCACUCAUUGGUCACUCAGGGGUCACUCAGGGUCACUCAUUUGUCACUCAGGGGUCACUCAUUGGUCACUCGGGGUCACUCAUUGGUCACUCAGUGGUCACUCAGGGUCACUCAUUGGUCACUCAUUGGUCACUCAGGGUCACUCAUUGGUCACUCAUUGGUCACUCGGGGGUCAGAGGUCACCUUCAGGAAGGACGUCUGCGUCGGGUCCAGCUUGGCGUUGCACUCCACCUUGGGGGAGGGGCCGAGGGUUGUGGGCGGGGCCCAGGGCUGGGGGCGGGGCCCAGCCGGCCACGCCCCCACCCCGCCCCGCCCCCACUCACCACGGCGUCCUCGUGGGGGGCGUUGUCACCGACCACCAGCAGGACCGGGCAGCUGCGGGGUCAGAGGGCACGUGGGGUCAGAGGUCACGCAGGGGGCAGGGGUCACUCAGGGGGCAGGGGUCACUCAGAGUCACUCAGUGGUCACUCAGGGGUCAUUCAGGGUCACUCAGGGUCACUCACCGCAGGCUCCCGGCUCCGCUCCGCUCCAGGCCGAGGUCAGCGCGGCUGAGG